GUAAGGAAUAUUGGGCAAUGGAGGCAACUCUGACCCAGCCAUCCCGCGUGAAGGAUUAAGGCCCUAUGGGUUGUAAACUUCUUUUGUUUGGGAAGAAAUCAGGACAUUUAUGUGCUGUUGACGGUACCUUACGAAUAAGCACCGGCUAACUCCGUGCCAGCAGCCGCGGUAAUACGGAGGGUGCAAGCGUUAUCCGGAAUCACUGGGUUUAAAGGGUGCGUAGGCGGUUUGAUAAGUCAGAGGUGAAAGCUAGCAGCUUAACUGUUAAAUUGCCUUUGAUACUGUCAGACUUGAAUCAAGUUGAGGUAGGCGGAAUGUGACAUGUAGCGGUGAAAUGCAUAGAUAUGUCAUAGAACACCAAUUGCGUAGGCAGCUUGCUGGGCUUGAAUUGACGCUGAGGCACGAAAGCGUGGGGAUCAAACAGGAUUAGAUACCCCAGUAGUCC
rnacentral:rRNA from 1 species